rnacentral:sRNA from 1 species
GCCAGGCAUGGUGGCACAUACCUGUAAUCCCAGCAUCUUGGGAGGCUGAGACAGGAGGAUCACGAGUUCAAAGCCAGCCUCAGUAACUCAGUGAGGUACUUAGCAACUCAGUGAGAUCCUGUCUCUA